rnacentral:ncRNA from 2 species
GGUCGGCGGCUCAUACAGCCUCGUAUAUACUCGGGAAUAUGGCCCGAAAGUUUCUACCCGAAAACCUUAAAUUUUCGGACUACGAGCGGUGUGAAUGGACGA